CGCGGCCUAUCAGCUUGUUGGUGAGGUAACGGCUCACCAAGGCGACGAUGGGUAGCUGGUCUGAGAGGAUGGUCAGCCACAUUGGGACUGAGACACUGCCCAAACUCCUACGGGAGGCUGCAGUCGAGAAUAUUUCGCAAUGGGGGAAACCCUGACGAUGCGACGCCGCGUGGGGGAUGAAGGCCCUCGGGUCGUAAACCUCUGUGUUACGGGAUGAAUUGAGCGUUGCUGAUAACGCAGCGUUUUUGACGUUACCGUAGUAGAAAGCCCCAGCUAACUACGUGCCAGCAGCUGCGGUAAUACGUAGGGGGCAAGCGUUGUCCGGAAUCACUGGGCGUAAAGCGCGCGCAGGCGGUGAUGUAAGUCAGACGUGAAAGGGUUCGGCUCAACCGAGCCACUGCGUUUGAUACUGCAUCACUUGAGUCUAGAAGAGGAAAGUGGAAUGUAUGGUGUAGCGGUGGAAUGCUUAGAUAUCAUAUAGAACACCUGUGGCGAAGGCGGCUUUCUGGUCUAAGACUGACGCUCAUGCGCGAAAGUUUGGGGAGCAACCGGGAUUAGAUACCCCGCUAGUCCUUACUGUAAACGAUGGGUACUAAGUGUAGGGGGUGUUGAUUCCCUCUGUGCUGUAGCUAACGCAUUAAGUACCCCGCCUGGGGAGUACGG
rnacentral:rRNA from 1 species